GACGAACGCUGGCGGCGUGCUUAACACAUGCAAGUCGAACGGAAAGGCCCUGCUUUUGUGGGGUGCUCGAGUGGCGAACGGGUGAGUAACACGUGAGUAACCUGCCCUUGACUUUGGGAUAACUUCAGGAAACUGGGGCUAAUACCGGAUAGGAGCUCCUGCUGCAUGGUGGGGGUUGGAAAGUUUCGGCGGUUGGGGAUGGACUCGCGGCUUAUCAGCUUGUUGGUGGGGUAGUGGCUUACCAAGGCUUUGACGGGUAGCCGGCCUGAGAGGGUGACCGGCCACAUUGGGACUGAGAUACGGCCCAGACUCCUACGGGAGGCAGCAGUGGGGAAUAUUGCACAAUGGGCGGAAGCCUGAUGCAGCAACGCCGCGUGCGGGAUGACGGCCUUCGGGUUGGAAACCGCUUUCGCCUGUGACGAAGCGUGAGUGACGGGAAUGGGUAAAGAAGCACCGGCUAACUACGU
rnacentral:rRNA from 1 species